UCUCCACCUAGGGCACAGAGCAGAGCAGGACGCGCGUCCCUCACUCCACGCGGCAGACGCCACGUCCGUCCCCCAAGAACCCCCUCUGGGAGCCGACGGCCCGCGGCUCCGCGGCCCCGUUCCCCGCUCGGCCGGGUCAGGGCAGCGUCUGAGGAUCUAACAUCCCGCCAAGAGGUCUUGCGAGAGCCACCCGCACCCACACUCCCCGCGGGAAAGCGCACACGUGCCUGCAGACACGGCGGCACGGGACGCCACGGCUCCGCGGGCCCAAGCGUGAACUCCGCGGUAGGAAGCCCUGCUCUGGGGUCGGUUAAGCAUCAGACUUCCGGUCGGGUCACGCUCUCACGGUUUGUGAGACGGAGCCCGCAUCGGGUGAGCCCCGCUUCUCUCUCUCUCCGCCUCUGUCCCUCAUGAGAUUCUCUCUGCCCCUCGCUCGCUCGUCCUCUCGCUCUCAAAAGAAACAAAACAAAAACCUGUUCUGUGACAUUAAUGGCAAAUUGGCACAAAAAUUAACAGCUAACUCGGCAGUGGCACCUCGCGUUACGUCCGAUGAAUGCUGCGCUUCAUUAAAAAUGCAUCCUUGCCAACAAUGCCUGUUACCCUUAUUUGCUGUUCUCUAUAAUUAUAAACUCUUGGAUGCUCCCUGUAUUUAGAUGAAGAAUCCUUUUGGUAGAAAUGCCCGUUCGGGCGACCGUCGGAAAGAGAACAGCGGAAGCGAAGUGUAUGGCAACGUUCAGAAGACCGUAUGUGCAUCUGGGUAGAGGUGUCCUAAUGGGCGCCCGGCUUCCCACUCAGGCUCAGCUCCCAGGCGGGGAACCACCCGACCCGCCUCUGGAUGCUCAUCACGGGUCUGGAGCCCGGUGUCUCCGUACCCGACGAGGAUGCGCGAGCGAUCGGAAAGCGUGGCUACGGCCCAACGGCAAGAGACCGAGAUCGUGGCAAGAGGACUCCAGCGUCCCCGCGCGUGAAUCGAGGGCUGGGCGAAUGCAUCUCUGGGACGCUCUCCUAGGACUCUGACCUCAGACUUUCGGGCAGUUCACUAAGUGGCUAAUCGGAAAUUCUUCCGUGAGUUUUGGGUUUCCACACACGCUUGACGCACUUUUCUUCACGCAACAAAACCAGACCUGUUCCGCACAGCAAGUAUUUUCUAUAGUCCUAUUUUCCCACGGGCCUUCGUCAAGUGGUCCCACAGCACAAUAAAUCUCGUGACCUUAAAACACAGUAACGUCAAACUCGGUAUUUUAAGAAGUCCGUUCAAAGAAAACACAUUCCAGAAAAUGUGAUACUUGCUCCUUGCGGAUAUCCCCGCCCCAUACGAACCGUCCAAGAUCCCCUUUCUCAAACGUCUGCUUUUCGGAGAGUUUUCGCUCUUCUCGGUAACAUGCCACCGCCAUCACUGAGCCGGGACGCGCAGCGUGUUGCUUCUUCCUCUUCGAGGCUCUGCCAAAGGGCCUCUUUUUUCCUGCGUCCUUCUCCCCGCUCCCCCCAGCCAUCUGGAAUAAACCACCUUCUUUCUCCUCA